CCGCCGGCGACCGGCGCACGGGUGAGUAACACGUAUGCAACCUGCCCUCUUCAGGGGGACAACCUUCCGAAAGGGAGGCUAAUCCCGCGUAUAUCGGUUUCGGGCAUCCGAGAUCGAGGAAAGAUUCAUCGGAAGAGGAUGGGCAUGCGGCGCAUUAGCUAGACGGCGGGGUAACGGCCCACCGUGGCGACGAUGCGUAGGGGUUCUGAGAGGAAGGUCCCCCACACUGGUACUGAGACACGGACCAGACUCCUACGGGAGGCAGCAG
rnacentral:rRNA from 1 species